CUGGAAAGAUCAUGGUAAGUCAGACAAUAAGCUAAUUAUGUUGUGCACAUUGUUUGUUGUGACACUCUUGAACUGAUAUUUCAUUACAUUUUUCAGAACAAAGAAGCAGCAUUUUGGUUCAGUAAUUAGUUUGACCUAGGUCUCCUCAAAAUUAACCACAAAUGAGCUCCUCAGGCUCCUCAGUAAGAAAAUGGAUGGACUCACGCUUCAAGCAGAUGCAUUUGCCACUUCAGCAGAUGUCCAAGGAACACUCAACUUGCCUGACAGUCCUUGAAUUAUAAUUCUUGGUCAAACUCUAAGCAACCAGCAGUGGAUGGUGAGCAUUGAAAGUCAUGUUGUAUGUGAGGGAACACAACUCAGCUUUGUCUGUGGCCGUACUGCUGUGUUUGCUUCAUGUGUGGACACUUUUUCUUUGGUGUCGUUUCUUGUGACUGAAGACAGAGAAAGCAAAAUUAAAGUUAGAAAUAUUCUUUAUUCAUACACACCAGGCAAAGGUUAAAUGACAGAGAAACACAGCCCUAGGACACUGCCCUUCAUCUGCACUGAGGAGCCCGUGUCCCCCAUUCGUAUAGGGCUUUAAGACUUUAGUUACAAAUAAUCUAAGGGUGGAGUACAUCUUUUGGUGCCUGAUAAGUCCACACCCGUUAGACGCCCAAGAAGUAGCACUUGAUUUCGUACACUGUAAGCAUGCAGGGUCUGCAUGACUCCUACCACACACCCCAUAGAACAUGCUUUCUGUCACGUACAUCAGAUUUGUCAAGCAAGUUAUUGACCUGUAUUUUUUAUUUUUCCACACAUGUUAUAAUUUCAACCUUCAAUAUAGGAAGGCUAUACACCAUGAUACCGAUUCAUCUAGCCACAUAAACACUUUUAAUGAAACUGGAAAGUGACCCCACUAUAGAAAGAAGAACUAAGCUAUCGAUUAAAGACAUACUACUCCUAAUAUCACUCUGCCAAAAAACUCACUUUCAUUUUAACGGCAAAUACUAUACUCAGAAAGAAGGCAUGCCAAUGGGAUCGCCGUUAUCAGGACUUCUAGCAGAACUGGUAAUGCAACGAUUUGAAAACAUGACUCUAUCUCAGUUCACACCCAAAAUUUGGAUACGCUAUGUGGACGACACAUUCGUCAUAAUAAAAAAUGAUCAGCUGAACGAAUUCUACAAGCACACCAACUCAAUAUUCCCGGCAAUCCAAUUCACAAUGGAGAAAGAAAUUAACCGACACAUCAGCUUCCUGGACAUCUACAUCGAAAGAAGUAAUGACGCCACCCUGACUACUAGUGUUUACCGUAAAGAAUGCUAUGCAGACAAGAUAUUACACUUCGCCAGCAACCACCCGAUAUCUCAUAAACGGAGCUGUGUUAAAACUCUA